AAGACUGAGAGGAAGUGAACAUUUACUGUACUGCAUUUGUCAGAACUGACACAUUUUAAAAUUAGUCUCUAGUAUCUCUGUGGUGAGAAGAGGAAACUGAAGCUAUAAAGUUGUUCUGUUUGAGCAGAUACAGGAGAGACAGUGAUGGCAGCUCUGAGGGCCUUGCUGUGUGCUGUCUUCAUGCUGACUGUAGUCACGUCUAAACCAAUCUGUCUACAUGAUGGCGAUGAUUCAUCCAAGUCUUCACAGUCCAGUGAGUCCAAUUCAUCAGAAGAAGCUGCCACUCACUUUGAGGAUCCCCUGCAGUCGGACUUCACAGAGACCAAACCCCCGCAUCAAGAUGCAGGGUCUUCUCCAGCCCUGCUCGAUACUUCAGCCCUGCCAGACCCUGAAGACCCACAAACCUCUGGUGACGCUGAUGCUUUACCACUCAUGCCAGACAAUCCUUCUCAAACUGCUCUGGGCAUAGACAUCUCUCAGGAUAUGCCCGAGUCUGACCCUGCACAGGACUCAGUUAAUGCUGACACUGUGCGUGUCCUACCAGACACAGAGGCCCUACUACACCCAGUGCUGACAAAAACUGAUAUAAUCACAGGAACAAAUCAACCACUAGUCACCACCACAUACCAAGGAUUCCCCCAGUGUGCCACUCCACCCUUUCCUUCACAUGUCGUCACACCAACGCCUCUAACAUUCUCUGUAGACCCACCCUUGUCCAUCCCGAUGGGAACUGCCCUGACUGGUGCUCCUGUUUGUUUCACUUUCCAGUUUGUGACCCCUGAGCCAGAACCUGUGAGAGGAGACAACAUUUGAAAUGGCGAUUCAUCUCAGCUUUAGUUCAACUUAGAUUACCAGUUUGGUUGUUGCUGUACAUACACAGCAUUGGCUUGAUUCUUAACUAUUACUGUUACAUGAAAGCAAAAUAUCCAGACUAAACUUGGUUUUUACUUUGAUUUCACAUUUUCUUCGUCAGAGGUAAUUCUGUUACAAUGGUGCUAAUUUUGAUGACUGCUGUUUAAAUACAAUGAAAAUGUUGGAAUUCUUGCAGUGGUUGAACUGAAGUGCUGUAUAAUCAACACCUUAACUGGCAACACCUCAGAUGUGUCCAUGAACAUUUGAAAAAGAGACUGUGAUUUUUUUUUUUUUUUUAUCAUCAGUGCAAUGAAUUGUUCAGAAGACAAUACAAUUCUGCUUAGUAAAAUUAUGUUGUUUAAUGGGAGUUUGUAUUACACUUAUUGUAAAGCUCAGCAACCUGACACCUGCAAGUGGCAAAGGCACAAAAAAUGCUCAUGAUCCUGGAUUAAUGGGCCUGUUAUCAAAGCAGCAGGA
ensembl:lncRNA